rnacentral:ribozyme from 1 species
UGCAUUUAUAUAUAUAUAAUACAGGAUAAUACAGGCUCUCCCAUCCAACUCCUAUUCCGACACGUCCUCGUCGUGCAGAGUGGUAACAUGUGCCAUCACUUAUCGAGGUUUGGGUACACGGGCUAGAUCCAACCCCUUGGGUGGAUGGUGGCAUAUGGCGACCCUGAGGGGG